CACUGAUUGGUGAACAGGUUAGCGGAGACUCUCGCGAGAUAAGGAGUUCUCCGCUACACCAGUCCUAAGAGGAGGCCUGUGCUUGGCGUGUCCUUCUGAGGAGAUGGCUUCCAGAUCAUUCCUAACGGCUCCAAAGAAAGGGAUGACAGAGUUUUUGAGCAGAGGAAAUCUGUCCCUUCUAGAUAUGUCUCUAGAUGACAUUAUACUCCUUAAAAACGUAGGAGACAGCAACACUGACAAGAAAGAGGACAAGACUGAGUAUGAUAUAAAAAUGCCAGGAGCUUCAGGAGAGCAAUCAAAUGCUCAUAAGGAUCACUGGAAGAGAGGUGAUGAAAGAAACGCUGAGGAAACAAUGGAAGACAAUUCUCUAUCUGAAUCUGAACAAAGCCCUCCAAACCAGGAGCCUUUAAAAGAGCAGGAGAAAUACAACGUUGGUUAUAAGGCCCAAUCGGAAGCAAAAGAGCAUCAGCCAAAAGGAAAUCAAGACAACUUAGAGAGAUCUCAUGGUCAAUCCAAGAGAUCUCGUAGUAAAUCCGAGAGAUCUCAUGACCACUCAAAGAGAUCUCAUGGCAGUUCAGAAAGAUCUCAUGCCCACUCAGAGAGAUAUCAUGGCCGUUCAGAGAGAUCUCAUGCCCACUCAGAGAGAUAUCAUGGCCACUCAGGGAGAUCUCAUGGUCGCUCAGGGAGAUCUCAUCAUCACUCGAGGAGAUCUCCUGAUCAAUCAGAGAGAUCUUAUCGCAAGUCAGAGAGAUAUCGAAGACACUUUCCAGGAGGAGGAUUCAAAACAUCAUUCGAAAGUGAUUCUCAAUUUGACGGAGAUUUUUCAAUAAAAAGAAAAAAUGACUACUUUUAUGAAAAGAAGCUUCAAAAAAAUGAUCCACUGGAAAUGCAUCGAGUGAUAACUCCAGAAGAUGAGCAUAACUCCUAUGAAACCGAAAGAAGCUAUACAAGACACGUGAGUCGUGGACAGGAAAUCUUAUUUCUAAAGAAUAGAUAUACUGGGGAGGGUUCUCUGUACCAGCCCAAAGGAGUAUACCUGAAUUUCAACUUUCAAGCACUGGGAAAUCAGACUAAGCUUUCACUCAAUGCCAGAUUCUCUAAACUGAGAUUUAUGAGAAAACCAGUUUCCUUCAACUCCUGAAGACCAGAGUUUCUUUCCUAGUGGAUUAUGUUCAAGAGC
rnacentral:lncRNA from 1 species